AUGCAUUAAAAAAAAUUAAUGAACUUUUAUCCUCAGCUGCUAAUUUAACAAAAUGCAAUUUUAAAGUUUUACCGUAUUCCAGCAAAACCGUAACACGACCUGCACCAAAUAAGAAAAUGGCAAUGCAACCUCGAUUUUUUUCAACAAAGAGAAAGCGACAAGUCUCCAAUCCUCGUCUGGCAAAACCAUCAAUCCAAGAAGUUGAAGAAAUCUAAGCUUGAUAUAAUUGUUUGAUUGAUAUUAAAUAGUUAUUUUAUAAUA
rnacentral:lncRNA from 1 species